rnacentral:rRNA from 1 species
UACGAAGGGGGCUAGCGUUGCUCGGAAUCACUGGGCGUAAAGGGUGCGUAGGCGGGUCUUUUAAGUCAGGGGUGAAAUCCUGGAGCUCAACUCCAGAACUGCCUUUGAUACUGAGGAUCUUGAGUUCGGGAGAGGUGAGUGGAACUGCGAGUGUAGAGGUGAAAAUUCGUAGAUAUUCGCAAGAACACCAGUGGCGAAGGCGCUCACUGGCCCGAUACUGACGCUGAGGCACGAAAAGCGUGGGGAGCAAACAGGG